GCAAGGAAGCUUUAGACAAGAAG
rnacentral:siRNA from 1 species